rnacentral:rRNA from 1 species
AGAGUUUGAUCAUGGCUCAGAAUCAACGCUGGCGGCGUGCCUAACACAUGCAAGUCGCACGAGAAAGGGGAGCAAUCCCUGAGUACAGUGGCGCACGGGUGAGUAACACGUGAAUAAUCUACCUCCGAGUGGGGAAUAACUGAGAGAAAUCUUAGCUAAUACCGCAUAACACUUACGAGUCAAAGCAGCAAUGCGCUUGGAGAGGAGUUCGCGGCCGAUUAGUUAGUUGGCGGGGUAAUGGCCCACCAAGACGAUGAUCGGUAUCCGGCCUGAGAGGGCGCACGGACACACUGGAACUGAAACACGGUCCAGACUCCUACGGGAGGCAGCAGUGGGGAAUUUUGCGCAAUGGGGGAAACCCUGACGCAGCAACGCCGCGUGGAGGAUGAAAUAUCUUGGUAUGUAAACUCCUUUCGAUGGGGAAGAUUAUGACGGUACCCAUAGAAGAAGCCCCGGCUAACUUCGUGCCAGCAGCCGCGGUAAUACGAGGGGGGCAAGCGUUGUUCGGAUUUAUUGGGCGUAAAGGGUGCGUAGGCGGUUUGGCAAGUCUGAUGUGAAAUCUAUGGGCUCAACCCAUAGUCUGCAUCAGAAACUGCCGGGCUUGAGUAUGGGAGAGGUGAGUGGAAUUUCCGGUGUAGCGGUGAAAUGCGUAGAUAUCGGAAGGAACACCUGUGGCGAAAGCGGCUCACUGGACCAUAACUGACGCUGAUGCACGAAAGCUAGGGGAGCAAACAGGAUUAGAUACCCCUGUAGUCC